rnacentral:lncRNA from 10 species
ACAGACAUAAAGAGAAGCAGGGUUUAGAUCACUCCAGGGGCAACUGAGCAUCUGUUCAGUGCCCCAGGAGGCAAGAUAUUGAAAAACAUAUUUGAGAAUGAAGAGAUGUAGGGCCCUAAUCCUGACUCUGCCACCAAACAGCUGUGCGACCUCAGCUAAUCAAGCCUGUUUUCUAAUCUUGAAACUCGCAGUGGAUCUCAACC